rnacentral:rRNA from 1 species
AACGAACGCUGGCGGCAUGCCUAACACAUGCAAGUCGAACGAGAGCUUCGGGUCUAGUGGCGCACGGGUGCGUAACGCGGGGGAACCUGCCCUUAGGUUCGGAAUAACUCCCCGAAGGGGGUUCUAAUACCGGAUAAUUUCCUCGGACCAAAGAUUUAUUGCCGUUGGAUGGGGCCGCGUUGGUUUCGCUGGUUGGUAGGGUAAAAGCCUACCAAGGCGACGAGCCACAGCUGGUCUGAGAGACUGAUCAGCCACACUGGGGCUGAGACACGGCCCAGACUCCUACGGAAGGCGGCAGUGGGUGAUAUUGGAAAGUGGGGGGAAGCCUGAUGCAGUUAUGGCGCGUGAGUGCUGAAGGCAUUAGGGUUGUAAAGCUCUUUUAUCCGCGAGGAUAAUGACAGUACCGGAAGAAUAAGCACCGGCUAACUCCGUG